CUGGGCUCCAUCGCCAGGACCUCCGUCGAAAGAAAGAAGCUACGUGCGAACCUAAAAUACCUCAAGACCCUAGGUCCAGAUACCACGUGCAGUACUGCUUGCUUUCCUUUUGCCCGCUGUCUUCACACGUACCCCAAACACGACCAGGUUUUUCCCUCGAAAAAUUCUUCAGUCCUCUGAAGUUCUUCUGGGCCCCGUUAGUUCACGGAAAGAUGUUGAGGGGGUUAGACUUCAGGUGUGCGGACAGUUCAAGUGUAGUGCUGUCGCUAACGUCUGUGUGCCUGCACCCUCUAGGUGACACGUGGCCCUUAAGCUCGGGACAAGAGGAAGACGUGGAGUCCCCUGACGAGGAGGAAGGGGCGCCCGAGCCAGAAACCGAACGGGAAGACACCCGUCCUGAGGCGAACGUAGCUGACGAAGGUGCUCCGGAGGAGCCAACCGAGGACGAGACAUUGACGUCUGCGCUCGCAGCAGACCAGCCUGACGUGUCCGGUGACACGUGGCCCUUAAGCUCGGGACAAGAGGAAGACGUGGAGUCCCCUGACGAGGAGGAAGGGGCGCCCGAGCCAGAAACCGAACGGGAAGACACCCGUCCUGAGGCGAACGUAGCUGACGAAGGUGCUCCGGAGGAGCCAACCGAGGACGAGACAUUGACGUCUGCGCUCGCAGCAGACCAGCCUGACGUGUCCGGUGACACGUGGCCCUUAAGCUCGGGACAAGAGGAAGACGUGGAGUCCCCUGACGAGGAGGAAGUUUCAACGCAGUCAGAAAGUGCAGUGGAAUAUUAUACUGAAUACUUUGCAGAUGCUACUGAGGAACCAGCUGUGCAGGAGAAGAUCACAUUUGAUGAAGGGAUUUUAAUGUUUAUAUUAUUGUUUUGUAGCUUUUGUGUGAUUUUUAUUGUAUUAUAUAAAUCUACCCUUGAUGAGAUAUGGCGGGGUUAAUUGGUAUAUACUGCGUUGUAUCCAUUUGUUAAUUGUUUCCCCCUCGAUUCAUUAAACCCGUCUUUAUAGCUCAAAAAUAUGUGAUUUGUAUUUGUAUAGAUUGUGUUUGGGUUCUUAACCUAUGUUUUCUCUUAUUUCAGAAGUAUUUGUCAUCCUGUUUCUAUUGGUUUUUUUUUUUAUAAGUGUAUAUGUUAAUUUUUACAGUGAUUCUGACAAAAAUAUUUGAUUAAAAGGAAUAGUGUGUUGGUUUUUGUUAUUUUUUCUGUUUUCAUCUCUUGAACUUUUAAAACAUGUUCUUGCUUCCUUCGAAAUGUUGUAUUUUCAAGUAGAGCUGCAGGGACAUUGCAGGAGAACGAACAGCAUGGUAAGCAGUAUGAAAUACGUUACGUUCUUAUACCAUCAGUUGAUUCAGUUGUGCUCUAUUCAGGGCCAUCCCUGAUUCUAGGAAUGGAUUCUAUUCCUCAAACUGCGUGAGCAGUAUGCACUGUUUCCUGUUUUAAAAUAUAUCUACCCACCCCAUCCCGCAUCUCAAGUGUUUUCUCACCCUUUAUGCACUGUUCUUUACUCAUUUGAAUUGUCAAUGGGGCCCCACUGCAGAUUUCCAGGGGCCUUUCUGUGGUCCGCUCCCUCCUCGCCAGCCCUCUCUUGUCUGAUCUCUUAUCUGCGUUGGUUUUGUCUGACUCUCUGCUUCAUCACCUCGACUGAGGGUGUCUGGUGGGCCCUCCUACCUCUGUUCCCUGUCCCUGUGUCACAGCCUGCAUAUUCUCCCAAGGCCGUGCACUGGGGCGUCCAUUAGACUCACUUCAUGUGUGUUUAGGGAUCACUGUCCUUCAUUGUCUG
ensembl:lncRNA